rnacentral:pre_miRNA from 1 species
AAUAAACAAGUUUCUUAUAGGUCUAUGCAUGAAGUUGUACAUAGAGCAUGCUUUUUAGUGGCCUCAAAGGCUUCCACUACUGCAUGUUUCUGUCGGUUUAAUAUAUCCUGAAACAAGUAGUAGUGGAUGCCUGGAGGUCCAUUAAAGGCAA